rnacentral:rRNA from 1 species
CCUACGGGUGGCAGCAGUGAGGAAUAUUGGACAAUGGGCGAGAGCCUGAUCCAGCCAUGCCGCGUGCAGGAAGACGGCCCUAUGGGUUGUAAACUGCUUUUAUACGGGAAGAAACACCCCUUCGUGAAGGGACUUGACGGUACCGUAUGAAUAAGGAUCGGCUAACUCCGUGCCAGCAGCCGCGGUAAUACGGAGGAUCCAAGCGUUAUCCGGAAUCAUUGGGUUUAAAGGGUCCGUAGGCGGGACAAUAAGUCAGUGGUGAAAGUCUGCAGCUUAACUGUAGAAUUGCCGUUGAAACUGUUGUUCUUGAGUAAUUAUGAAGUGGUUAGAAUAUGUAGUGUAGCGGUGAAAUGCAUAGAUAUUACAUAGAAUACCGAUUGCGAAGGCAGAUCACUAAUAAUUCACUGACGCUGAUGGACGAAAGCGUAGGUAGCGAACAG